UCCAGGGUAGCCUAGUGGACAUGGCACCUGCCCGGUAAGCGGAACAUUGUGGGUUCGAUUCCCAUCCCUGGAC